GCUGCGCACUUCGGUCUUUUACGUCGGCCUUCGCGAGCGUCUGGGCGGGUGGAACAAUGGCGCUGUCUUCAGUGGCACAGUGGAGCAGCUCUGAAGAUGCAAAGAUACACGAAAAAACUUCCAGAACAUCUGGGAGAAUAUUUAAUGGAAAAUCGCUUGGUUAAAACCUGACACUUUUAACAGUGAACAGCGUUCUGAGUGUGGACGAGUAGCCAGUGAAGAUAAUGAAUGUCGAAUGUGACUGACUAGCAGCUUCAUUUUGAAUGAGGGUCGCUGUCUGCCCAUUGAUAGAGGCCAGAUUGUCUUGGAAGUUCCAAAGUUGCAACGAUUUCUGUAAGUGGAGUUUUUCUGUUUGCUUAGAGAUCAGUGAAUAUUGUGUCCUUGGUCUUAUCUGUGAUGAUCUUAUCCCGAACCUGAACUUCUGUUGAAAAAAAAAAA
rnacentral:lncRNA from 1 species